CAUAGCCAAAAAUAACUAAUGGAUUAAGAGUUGGAUUACUCACGAAUCUAACAUCACCGCCACCUGGUGCCCAAGUAUCAUAUACUCCACCAACAAAUAGAGCUUUGAUUACUAAUAAAAAUGCUCCAAUACCUAGUAAUACUAAAUGUAUGCCAAGUAUUGUUGUCAUCUUAUUUUUAUCGCGCCA
rnacentral:antisense_RNA from 1 species